rnacentral:misc_RNA from 1 species
GAAUUGCGAUAAGUAAUGUGAAUUGCAGAAUUCAGUGAAUCAUCAAAUCUUUGAACGCACAUUGCGCUCUCUGGUAUUCCGGAGAGCAUGCCUGUUUGAGAAUCGAUAAAACCCUCACAUGUACCUCUCUCUUUGGCACAGUCAAAGUUAGUUGUACCGCUGUGGAUCUGGAUUGUUUGUAUGACCUCGGUCUACAAUGGUCUCAAAUAAAAUGUCUACAGCUCUUGUUGUCCUCAACAAAGCCCGGAGUGCAUGAAUGGAGUUUGAAAAAGCUUGAUCCUCACAAUGGUCCUUUGUUUUAAUGGGUGACAUGUUGUUGACCCAACCAUUACAUUGGUGGAGGCAUCCCCUGUGGUUGCCUUGAUCAAAAACUUGGUCUCAAAUCAGGUAGGAAAACCCG